rnacentral:hammerhead_ribozyme from 1 species
AGCCGAAACCCCUGGAAGGGGGUCGUCACGGGUGGUUCCCGUGGCCUGACGAUGGCAGUCAGUU